GACGAACGCUGGCGGCGUGCCUAAUACAUGCAAGUAGAACGCAGUCGCGAACGGGUGAUUAACGCGUCUGUCACCCGCCUCAUAGCGGAGGAUAACUAUUGGAAACGAUAGCUAAUACCGCACACCGCGAGUUGGAACUACGUUGUAUUAGCUAGUUGGUGAGGUAAAGGCUCAUCAAGGCGACGAUACAUAGCCGACCGGGGAGGUUGGUUGGCGAGACUGGGAGUUGGAGACGGCCCAGACUCCUACGGGUGGCAACAGUAGGGAAUCUUCGGCAAUGGACGGAAGUCUGACCGAGCAACGCCGAGUGAGUGAAGACGGUGUUCGGAUCGGAGAGCUCGGUUGUUAGGGAAGCGGUAACUGACCAAGAAGGGACGGCUAACUACGUGCCAGCAGCCGCGGUAAUUC
rnacentral:rRNA from 1 species